rnacentral:tRNA from 1 species
UGCGGAUUGAUGUAAUUUUAGAAACAUACCUGGCUCAUGACCAGGAAAUGGAGGUGCAAGUCCUUUGUCCGCAU